rnacentral:rRNA from 1 species
UAACGAGCGCAACCCACGUCGUUAGUUGCCAACAGGUCAAGCUGGGAACUCUAACGAGACUGCCGGUGUAAACCGCGAGGAAGGUGUGGAUGACGUCAAAUCAGCACGGCCCUUACAUCCAGGGCUACACACGUGUUACAAUGGUCGGUACAGAGGGCAGCUACCAGGCAACUGGAUGCGAAUCUCAAAAACCGGUCUCAGUUCGGAUUGGAGUCUGCAACCCGACUCCAUGAAGCUGGAUUCGCUAGUAAUCGCGCAUCAGCCAUGGCGCGGUGAAUACGUUCCCGGGCCUU